GACAGGAAAGUCAGAGGGCAUCUCUGGUGGAUGGAUGGAAAAUGGAAAUAAUGAAGGGGCCUGGGGAAUAAUGAAUGUUUCUGGACAGGAGACUGUCGCAGGAAGAUGUAAAUCUUUUUUUUUUUUUAAAGGCCUCUAAGAAAUACUUUAUUUCCUUUCUAAUGAGAAAUUGUUUUUUAAAUCACCGGGAAUUGUAUUUAUUUUCGCUUUGUUUUUUUAUUACAGUUUCAGAGUGCAAUACACUAAUACACCGCUGUCUUUAAUAUGGACAGCUGUAAAGUUACACAUGCAUUUGUCAUGAUUACAUUAUUUAUAAGCAAAAAUAUUUGAGUUGACAACUUUGCUAAUAGCAAAACAUCAAGAAAGUGCAACAACACAAGACAUAGCAUGCUAGUUAAUAGGCCUAUUACUUAAGUUACUCAGCCAUAGACGCUGCGGUUCUGGCACGACACCCAUGCUGCUCCCCGCCAGCAGUAAGUGCAGCAAAGGAAUCUAGAGAGACUCUUCUUUAGUUGGCUUCAAAGUUCUGGGCAACCCAGGAUGUUCUCAACAGGAGCAUGUUUGCUAUUUUCAGGAUGUCCGGAGGCAGUUCGGAGGGUCACACAGCUGCAAGGACGUGUACAACGCUGGGCUAAAGUUGCCUGAGGAACAGCCUAUAUGCCCUCUUUGGUUGAGAUGCCCGUCAGGAGCACAGAAUCACUACAGCACCAGUCUUAAAUCCAUCCAUCCAUCCAUUGUCUACUGCUUAUCCGGGGUCGGGUCGUGAGGGCAGCAGCUCCAGAAAGGAACUCCAAACUUCCCUUCUCCGGGCCACAUCCACCAG